rnacentral:rRNA from 1 species
UACGAAGGGGGCUAGCGUUGUUCGGAAUCACUGGGCGUAAAGGGUGCGUAGGCGGGUCUUUAAGUCAGGGGUGAAAUCCUGGAGCUCAACUCCAGAACUGCCUUUGAUACUGAGGAUCUUGAGGUCGGGAGAGGUGAGUGGAACUGCGAGUGUAGAGGUGAAAUUCGUAGAUAUUCGCAAGAACACCAGUGGCGAAGGCGGCUCACUGGCCCGAUACUGACGCUGAGGCACGAAAGCGUGGGGAGCAAACAGG